rnacentral:rRNA from 1 species
GAUGAACGCUGGCGGCGUGCCUAAUACAUGCAAGUCGAGCGAACAGACGAGGAGCUUGCUCCUCUGACGUUAGCGGCGGACGGGUGAGUAACACGUGGAUAACCUACCUAUAAGACUGGGAUAACUUCGGGAAACCGGAGCUAAUACCGGAUAAUAUAUUGAACCGCAUGGUUCAAUAGUGAAAGACGGUUUUGCUGUCACUUAUAGAUGGAUCUGCGCCGCAUUAGCUAGUUGGUAAGGUAACGGCUUACCAAGGCAACGAUGCGUAGCCGAACUGAGAGGGUGAUAGGCCACACUGGAACUGAGACACGGACAAGACUCCUACGGGAGGCAGCAGUAGGGAAUGUUCCGCAAUGGGCGAAAGCCUGACGGAGCAACGCCGCGUGAGUGAUGAAGGUCUUCGGAUCGUAAAACUCUGUUAUUAGGGAAGAACAAAUGUGUAAGUAACUAUGCACGUCUUGACGGUACCUAAUCAGAAAGCCACGGCUAACUACGUG